rnacentral:rRNA from 1 species
CAUGCAAGUCGAACGAGAUCCUUCGGGGUCUAGUGGCGAACGGGUGCGUAACGCGUGGGAAUCUGCCCUUUGGUUCGGAAUAACAGUUGGAAACGACUGCUUAUACCGGAUGAUGACGAAAGUCCAAAGAUUUAUCGCCAGAGGAUGAGCCCGCGUAGGAUUAGCUAGUUGGUGUGGUAAAGGCUCACCAAGGCGACGAUCCUUAGCUGGUCUGAGAGGAUGAUCAGCCACACUGGGACUGAGACACGGCCCAGACUCCUACGGGAGGCAGCAGUGGGGAAUAUUGGACAAUGGGCGAAAGCCCGAUCCAGCAAUGCCGCGUGAGUGAUGAAGGCCUUAGGGUUGUAAAGCUCUUUUACCCGGGAAGAUAAUGACUGUACCGGGAGAAUAAGCCCCGGCUAACUCCGUGCCAGCAGCCGCGGUAAU